GUAGGUGGCAAGCGUUGUCCGGAAUUAUUGGGCGUAAAGCGCGCGCAGGCGGUUCUUUAAGUCUGAUGUGAAAGCCCACGGCUCAACCGUGGAGGGUCAUUGGAAACUGGAGAACUUGAGUACAGAAGAGGAAAGCGGAAUUCCACGUGUAGCGGUGAAAUGCGUAGAGAUGUGGAGGAACACCAGUGGCGAAGGCGGCUUUCUGGUCUGUAACUGACGCUGAGGCGCGAAAGCGUGGGGAGCAAACAGGAUUAGAUACCCUGGUAGUCCACGUCGUAAACGAUGAGUGCUAAGUGUUAGGGGGUUUUCCGCCCCCCUUAGUGCUGCAGCUAACGCAUUAAGCACUCCGCCUGGGAGUACGGCCGCAAGGCUG
rnacentral:rRNA from 1 species